GUGUACGCGUUCUCUCUCUCUCUCUCUCUCUCUCUCUCUCUCUCUCUGUAUAGAUCUAUAUCUAUAUAGAUAUACACAUAUAUCUAUAUCUAUCUAUCUAUCUUUGUAUCUAUAUAUAUAUAUAUAUAUAGAGAGAGAGAGAGAGAGUAUAUAGAGAGAGGAAACGAUAUAUAUA
rnacentral:miRNA from 1 species